CAGCACCUCAAGUGGUCAGGAUGAUUAUUGGGCCUAAAGCAUCCGUAGCCGGCUCUGUAAGUUUUCGGUUAAACCUGUACGCUCAACGUACAGGCUGCCGGGAAUACUGCAGAGCUAGGGAGUGGGAGAGGUAGACGGUACUCGGUAGGAAGGGGUAAAAUCCUUUGAUCUAUUGAUGACCACCUGUGGCGAAGGCGGUCUACCAGAACACGUCCGACGGUGAGGGAUGAAAGCUGGGGGAGCAAACCGGAUUAGAUACCCGAGUAGUCC
rnacentral:rRNA from 1 species